ACUAUGGUUGCAUUGUUGUCUUAAUAAAAGAAUGAAUGCACGCUUGGAGAACUCAACACUAUUCAUACAAUCUCUUUUUCUUCCCACACAUCAAGGACACAUCCUGCUCACUAACACUGAUGAAGAAAAACAGUGUCUCUCACCCAUUAGCAAGGGAAAAGGAGUGUUGAAGUUUUCUGAGGAUACCCCAUCAUCCCAAUCUAAACUUGACAGAUAUAGAUUAUUAGUUUGUACGAGCAUAGAUACAAUGAGUUGUGAUGUAAAAUUAUCCCCCUAUACGGCGGGUUGUUUUUUAUUGCAGGGAAGGACGAACUGAUGCCAAUGAGAAUGGGGCAAUGCAAGACUAAGAAGUGUUUCGUCUCCUUGGUAGCAUUAGGGAGCAUCUGGAUAAAAAUGAGAAAACAAAAUAGGCUAUGGUGCAGUCUCAUGGAGACCAAAUUAAGAAGCUGGCAGAAGUGGUUGACGGUCACAACCACAUACUCGGAGGUUUGAUCAAGAAUGUGUCCACCAAAGAAGAUCCUGUGCCAGCUAUGAAGAAUGAGGGAAAGAACAUUUCAGCAAAAGAAAGACGCGGUCGACCUCGAAAGGCCAACGACGCCAACAAGAAGAUAGGGACGGGAACUGUAGCAAGGACGACGCCAGAGUUGAAAUCGAUGAAGUCGAAGACUGCAGAUAGUUCCUUUAAGCGAAAGCUAAAUUUUGAAGAGGAGGAGUCUAGAACCGAUGUCAUGAUGGAGGUAUACCAGGAGGGUCAUGGAACUCUAUUCACCUAUUACACUCAUUUUAAUGCCUAUAUGGAUGGUGCUGCGAUGCCCAGGAUAUGAUCAUUGUCAUCCUAUUAAUGAUUAUAUAUUAAUAUAUAUCAUUUUUCCAUUAUAAGAUUCUCCCCUGACUAACUUGGAUUCAAUAAACGGUGUACGUAAUUACUAUUCCCACCGCCUGAGGGAAUGGAGUUCGUUCGAAUGGAACUUGGAGUUGUGGCCUAUAUAUUUGGAAAAGAUUUGCCGAAGAGAAUAACAGCGAGGUCCUUGUCCCAAUUGAGCAUUGUCUUGGAGACAGGCAUGCCCUACACACCCUCUGUCCUAGAGAACGGGUCAUGGACGAUGUGAUUAGCCUAGUUGCCGUCAUGUGCACCGAAGGCGCUAUGUCGAAGUCAAUACUCAAGAGGUGGUGGCUUCCCACCUCUUUCUAGCAAAUCACGGUUAAUCCAACAAAUUAUUGUCCAAACAAGCUGGAGUACAUCAAGCACAAGUUCAUGAGAAAGGCAGACAAACUGUUUAAGGUAACGUUCUCCAUUUGUCAUGAUAUUUUCAAUGUAUCUAUACAUGGCAAACAUCAUGUUUGAUCUAACAUUCUCAGAUUUACGUUCCCCUCCACACGGAGGAUCAUUGCUACUUGAUGAUCAUUGAUUUCUUCAACUGGAAGUUAGUGUAUCUUGACUCGCUAAAAGAUUCCAAGGUUACAAAGGUCCGUAAGGAUCAGAUGCUAUAUGUGGUAAGCGCGAGUGAUGUGGAUUCUUUUAGUUAAGACUUUUAUGUGACAGAAGCGAAUAAUGCAUUUUAUUCGUAUAAAAUAAUGCAUGUUAUUUUCUGGAUGAAACAUGCAUUUUUCUUGGAGAACUUGUUGAGUGAUGAGUUUUUCUAUGAAGGAACUCCAAAUGAAAUGCACAAGCCAUCCACUUAUGAAAUACUAGAGCCGGAGAUCGGACAACAAGCUGACGGAUCCUAAGUAUUUAUUUUGAAUAUUUUUUUUUCAUUUCUUGCCCAACUACCUGACCAAAAAAGUUUUCCACCGAGACUGAGUAAAUUUUUUACAAGUGAAUAAACACCUGCUAGGAUAUAAAUUGGUGCCUCAGGUUCGCUAUGCACAAAUAAAUUUUGGUUAACUUCUAAAUUAUCUUAUAUCAAAAUUUAUUACAUUGCUAUUUUAAUGGAUCACAAGUCUAGUGGUAGGCAGAACAAUAUUAUAUUAUAUGAUGUACAUUCUUUAAAAAAAUUGACAUACAUCAUCCUUGCUUGUUCUUUGUUACCGGAUUGUAAGUACUUCCAGCCAAUACUUUUUUCUUUCGAAACUACUAAGCCAAAAAAAAAAAAAUCUCCAACGAGACAAAGUAGCUUUUUUAAAAGUGAAUAAACACCAGCUGGGAUAUAAAUUGGUGCCACAGGCCUCUCUAUGCACAAAUAAAGUUUGCUUAACUUUUAAAUUAUCUUAUAUCAAAGUUUAUUACGUUGUUAGUUUGCGAGAUCAUAAAUUUGGUGGUAUUGACAACAAUAUUAUAUUGUAUUAUGUAAAUUGAUUAACAAAAUUGACAUACCACGUCCAUACUUGUUUUCUUGUACUGUUAUAGCACUACCAAACAUUUUUCACUAUUGGACUGAUAUAUCUCAGGCCCAUGUUGACUAAUGCUAUUAACUUCAGUAAUGACUGCAGAGUGUGGGUCGCCCAAUGGAUGAUCCAGUCCCAUAUGUGGAGUGACUAAGAUCUACCGGUGGUUAACAAACAUACAAGAAUAAGGUUAGCGAUUGAUAUUGUAUUGGGGAGACACAACCCUAUUCGAGCUGAAAUCGGUUAGAAGGCCGUAGAAGUUUGGGACAAAAGAUGCAAGAGGUCAGACAAAAAAACCAAGAAGAAUACUGGCCAAGUGGAUGUUACUACAAGUCUUACCAUAUAGGAUGUAGUCAGCCAAAUUGUACCCUUUUUUUGUGCCCAGUGAUGAGCUGUUUAGACAUUAUAACAAGACUUUAUGUUGUAAAAUGCCCCUUCAGAUCCAACCAACAUGUUUCCAACGAAGGGUUGAUUGGUUGAUAUAAAAAGGCCCUUUUGGUGUGUCUUUUUUUUGUUCCUCAGAAUUCAUGGGUUUGAUUAUUGUAUUUGGGUGCUCUUUUGGUGCAAGAAGUAACAUUGGUUAUCUUGGGCCGUUAAGAUGUUCUUGAAACAAGUUUGUCUAA